CCUACGGGGGGUAGCAGUGGGGAAUAUUGGACAAUGGGGGGAACCCUGAUCCAGCCAUGCCGCGUGUGUGAAGAAGGCCCUCGGGUUGUAAAGCACUUUCAGUGAGGAAGAACGCCUGGUGGUUAAUACCCAUCAGGAAAGACAUCACUCACAGAAGAAGCACCGGCUAACUCCGUGCCAGCAGCCGCGGUAAUACGGAGGGUGCGAGCGUUAAUCGGAAUUACUGGGCGUAAAGCGCGCGUAGGUGGCUUGAUAAGCCGGUUGUGAAAGCCCCGGGCUCAACCUGGGAACGGCAUCCGGAACUGUCAAGCUAGAGUGCAGGAGAGGAAGGUAGAAUUCCCGGUGUAGCGGUGAAAUGCGUAGAGAUCGGGAGGAAUACCAGUGGCGAAGGCGGCCUUCUGGACUGACACUGACACUGAGGUGCGAAAGCGUGGGUAGCAAACAGGAUUAGAUACCCGGGUAGUC
rnacentral:rRNA from 1 species